rnacentral:rRNA from 1 species
UACAGAGGGUGCAAGCGUUAAUCGGAAUUACUGGGCGUAAAGCGUGCGUAGACGGUUAUGUAAGUCAGGUGUGAAAGCCCCGGGCUCAACCUGGGAAUGCCAUUUGAGACUGCAUAGCUAGGGUACGGAAGAGGGAAGCGGAAUUUCAGGUGUAGCGGUGAAAUGCGUAGAUAUCUGCAGGAACACCCGUGGCGAAAGCGGCGAGCUGGAUCACUACUGACGCUGAGGAACGAAAGCUAGGGGAGCAAACAGG